AUACGUAGGGUGCGAGCGUUAAUCGGAAUUACUGGGCGUAAAGCGUGCGCAGGCGGUUAUGUAAGACAGAUGUGAAAUCCCCGGGCUCAACCUGGGAACUGCAUUUGUGACUGCAUGGCUAGAGUACGGUAGAGGGGGAUGGAAUUCCGCGUGUAGCAGUGAAAUGCGUAGAUAUGCGGAGGAACACCGAUGGCGAAGGCAAUCCCCUGGACCUGUACUGACGCUCAUGCACGAAAGCGUGGGGAGCAAACAGGAUUAGAUACCCUGGUAGUCCACGCCCUAAACGAUGUCAACUGGUUGUUGGGAAUUAGUUUUCUCAGUAACGAAGCUAACGCGUGAAGUUGACCGCCUGGGGAGUACGGCCGCAAGGUUGA
rnacentral:rRNA from 1 species